GAUUUAUACAGAUCACUCAAACUGAUGUGGCGUUUGCGUUUGAACACUGAAAAGCUAUCUGUCUUGCGAUUUUAUUUUUGCUCGAGUAGCAACAGCAAAAGAUGUCAGAAAAAAAGUAAACAUAUCAGCUUGUUAACAAUAAAGGAAACUAGUUAUCAUUUUUCCCUAGCUAAUAAACAUGUUUAAAAAAGUUUGUUCUUUACAGUAUACAGUAAAUAUAUUUGUUCUUAAUCAACGAACCUAUACUGAGCAAUCAUCAUCAUAGAUUCAACCGCUGAGCCUCUAGGGACAAGAUUCAGACUGCCAUUUGUGAGGGCGCUGGUGGAUCUCAUCCUGUAAGCUGCACGCAUGUUUUUGCAAUGCUUUGUGCAUUGGUUGAUUAUAGUUAAAAAAAUAAUUAUAUGAAGCUUCAACUGAACAACUAUAAAAAUCGCAUUAGCCAUAGCCAAAAAAAUUCAUAUCACCAAAAAAUAGUGGAUACAUUAAAGCCACCUGCCUUCAAUUAAUCAACCGUGAAUUCAGUUAACUAUUCAGCACUUUUCUGAGUAAACUGCAGUUUCCAAAUAUUCUCUCUAAUGGCAUAUACAGGCGUCAAUUUAAAGUCAGAAUAAUGUAUCUGUCUGCAUUGGUAUGCAGCAGGCACCAGGCAUUGGUAUGCGCCAGGCUUAAAAUGCCUGACUUUUUAGAUAUUGAAGAUGUCCUUUAUUUUCAUCAGAAUAUAAAAAUUACCCUAGAAAAAAGCUUGGGAUCUAGAUUUACAAACCACAGAACUGAAGCAUUUGUUUAACAAACGCCAUGAAAUAAGAUUAACAGCUUCAGCCCUUUCACAGCAUUGCUUGCGGGAUAGCUGACUUUGAUGCAUUGGCAGCAAAUAAAUGUAACAAUCAUAAAAAAAAAGACCUGAGCAAAUUACGAGCAGUCUCAUUUGGUUCCAGGCAUGAAAGUGUCAUUAGAAAUUUCAUUAGGAGCCAAAAUAAAUCUUGUAUUUUGAGAAAAGUUGGAUUUGUUACUAAUCCAAACAUUACAUUUCUGUAUGCAUCAUGAUGGAUGAUUGUUUAGUAAGGAAAAUAUUCAGGUAAAUAGGCUGUCUCAAUGGCCAUUUUUGUGGUUUUUCCAUGUAAAACAUGGAUACAAGAAAGUCCUCCACAAAGGCAUCUCUCCUCUUAAGUAGAUAGACCUUGACUGCUUUGCCACAAACAAAUAAACCAAAUCUGUGGGGAAAAAAUAUAUUAAUGUUUAUGUUAUGUAAUUUUUGUAUAACACAAACAUUGACAGUUCUUGCUCAUAGUGCAAACAAAACAUUGAAUUUUGCAUUAGCAGGAAUGCAAAAAAUCACAAAUUUUCAGUAAUUACAAAAGGCAAUCAAUAUUCAGACAAAAUUUUUUAAAUACUUUACAUUAUUCAUGCAGAUUAAAAUUUUUGAUUGAAGUUUUACAAAUAUAAAAAUAUAGUUAUCAAUAAGCCCAAUAAAAGUGAUAAAAAUAAACUUAUUAAUGGAGUCAAAAUGGCUGGAAGUGAAGAAUCGAAUGAGUGAUGCAAUAAAAGCUGGUUGGAGGCUCAAUAAGGAAAGGAAGGGAGAAUUGAGACAGCACUGGCUGACGAGGUUGUACGUAUGUUAAAUGUAUGUGAAUCAUUCGUGAUAACUCAUGUUGUGCAAGAAUGUAAAAAUAGUAUGAUUGUAGAAAUAAAUGUGUGUAUUGUGAAACAAUA